AUCUCUUUUCUCAGCCUUCCCGGCUUACCACCUUUUCCCCACCUUCUUCCCUGCUUCCCCUCCUCUCCACCGUCAACAGCGGGCGUCGGUGGCGGCCCCGUGGGUGCGCCUCCACGCCACCCGCAGCACCCAGGAUGAGGAGGUCAAGGUCGACGCCACCAUGUUCGACGGCGCCGCCGUCCCGCCCCCAGACGCGCCCCUCUUCCGCCGCGUCGAGUCGCUCGACCACGUCCCGCGCCUCCACCUCGGCCUCAUCAUCGAGGCCUCUACCGCGACAUGUUGCACCAGCACCAGAAAUCAUGUUCAAGCUGGAGGCUAGGGAGAGGGAGUACGUGAGGAAAUUCUUGCAGGAGAGGGCGGCGGCGGCAGCGGCGGCCGGGCGAGGCGGCGCUCCCACGGGAGAUUCACGACGAGAUCGGCCUAGAGUUCCUCGGCAACGUCACCGGCAAGCCAUACACGCUCCACGCCAACAUCUUCGCCAACGGCGUCGGCAGCCGCGAGCAGCAGUCGUCGCAUCUCCUCCUGGUCGUGGUCCUCAUCGUGCACAUCGUCGCUCGGCUCCCUUGACGACGAUGCCGUCGUUGCGUGCGUCGUCAAGGCGGCGGCGAGCGGGCGAGCGGGCGGCGGCCAUUUUCACUUUUUUUUUGUUUUUUUUCCGUGCGAGCGGUAUAAUAUGACCGCAUCGGGAUAAUCGAUUAUCCCGUGCGGUCCAUUAUCCCAUACGGUUGGGCCGUCCGUACGCGAAAAUAUUGAUUUUUUCAGACAUUUGGGUAUAGACGGGCAAAUCCUCCGCACAGAAAAAUCAUUUUGACCGCAAGGAAAAAUGGUUUUCGCAGUAACGAGAGACCGAAGAAGAUUGUACAAUUAUUAAUUGGGUAAUUUGUAACCAUGCCAUUAUAAUUUUUUAAAGUUUAAGAUA